rnacentral:tRNA from 1 species
GUCAGAAUGGCCGAAGUGGUCUAAGGCGCCAGACUCAAGGUUGUGCACCUUCUCCAAAACAGAGAGAUUUUUGGUCUCCGAAUGGAGGCGUGGGUUCAAAUCCCACUUCUGACA